rnacentral:rRNA from 1 species
AUGCGGCUGUUUGAUGGGGUCUUCUCCUCAUCGGUCAACCUCACCUGCAUCAACCGGGCGCAUAUUGUCCUGCUGCCUAAGGGCGACGGGGUCCUAGCGCCGGGUGGGUACCGGCCUGUCUCGCUGCAAAACUGUGACAUCAAGCUGGUUUGCAAGGCGCUGACAACCCGCCUCCAGAGGCAAAUCCCGGAGCUCAUCGAUGUGGACCAGUCCGGCUUUAUCAAAGGGCGGAGCAUCUCCGAGAAUUUCAUCAAUGCCGCCGAGGUCGUCCAGUGCUGUGACCAGCGAAAGGCACCGGCUCUCGUCCUUAAGCUGGACUUCGCGAAGGCUUUUGACUCCAUCAACUGGCAAAGCCUCCGGGAGAUCCUGGAGGUGCGAGGCUUUCCGGGGCGCUGGUGUGACUGGAUGGACGCCAUCUUCCGGUCGUCCUUGUCCUCGGUCCUCCUGAAUGGGGUGCCGGGGCGUUGGAUCCCCUGCAAGAAGGGGCUGCGGCAGGGGGAUCCCCUCUCCCCCUACCUCUUCUUGCUUGUGGCCGAUGUGCUGCAAAGGAUGAUCAAGCGCGACGGGGGGAUGGCUCACCCCCUCCUGGCUGGCGCGCCCCCUCUCGUGCUCCAGUACGCCGACGAUACCCUAAUCGUCCUUCGAGCUGAGCUGGGCGCUGUCAGGCGCCUCAAGGGCAUCUUGGACGACUUCACGGCGGCAACGGGGCUUGUCAUAAAUUUCCACAAGAGCACAGUGGUGCCAAUGCAUGUCCUAGUGGACGAUCUCCAUGACACGGUUCAGGUCCUGGGCUGUCAGGUGGGGAGCUUCCCGUAG